rnacentral:rRNA from 1 species
AUUGAACGCUGGCGGCAGGCUUAACACAUGCAAGUCGAGCGGAGUGAUGGUGCUUGCACUAUCACUUAGCGGCGGACGGGUGAGUAAUGCUUAGGAAUCUGCCUAUUAGUGGGGGACAACAUCUCGAAAGGGAUGCUAAUACCGCAUACGUCCUACGGGAGAAAGCAGGGGAUCACUUGUGACCUUGCGCUAAUAGAUGAGCCUAAGUCGGAUUAGCUAGUUGGUGGGGUAAAGGCCUACCAAGGCGACGAUCUGUAGCGGGUCUGAGAGGAUGGUCCGCCACACUGGGACUGAGACACGGCCCAGACUCCUACGGGAGGCAGCAGUGGGGAAUAUUGGACAAUGGGGGGAACCCUGAUCCAGCCAUGCCGCGUGUGUGAAGAAGGCCUUAUGGUUGUAAAGCACUUUAAGCGAGGAGGAGGCUCUUUUGGUUAAUACCCAGAAUGAGUGGACGUUACUCGCAGAAUAAGCACCGGCUAACUCUGUGCCAGCCGCCGCCGUAAAAC